UACGUAGGUGGCGAGCGUUGUCCGGAAUUACUGGGUGUAAAGCGCGUGUAGGCGGGAGGCCAAGUCUGUGGUGAAAUCGCUCGGCUUAACUGGGCGGGGUCCAUGGAAACUGGUCACCUGGAGGUCGGUAGAGGCAAGUGGAAUUCCCGGUGUAGUGGUGAAAUGCGUAGAGAUCGGGAGGAACACCAGUGGCGAAGGCGGCUUGCUGGGCCGGACCUGACGCUGAGACGCGAAGGCGGUGGGAGGCGAACGGG
rnacentral:rRNA from 1 species